AAUGAACGCUGGCGGUAGGCCUAACACAUGCAAGUCGAACGGCAGCACAGUAAGAGCUCGCUCUUACGGGUGGCGAGUGGCGGACGGGUGAGGAAUACAUCGGAAUCUACUUUUUCUUGGGUGAUAACGUAGGGAAACUUACGCUAAUACCGCAUACGACCUACCGGUUAAAUCAAGGGAUCUUCGGACCUUUCGCGAUUGAAUGAGCCGAUUUCGGAUUAGCUAUUUGGCGGGGUAAAGUCCCACCAAGGCAACGCUCCGUAGCUGAUCUGAGCGGAUGGUCAGCCACACUGAAACUGAGACACGUUCCAGCCUCCUAGGGGAGGCAGCAGUGGGAAUAUUGGACAAUGGGCGCAAGCCUGAUCCAGCCAUACCGCGUGGGUGAAGAAGGCCUUCGGGUUGUAAAGCCCUUUUGUUGGGAAAGAAAAGCAGCAGGUUAAUACCCCGCUGUUCUGACGGUACCCAAAGAAUAAGCACCGGCUAACUUCGUG
rnacentral:rRNA from 1 species